rnacentral:rRNA from 1 species
CAAGCUUUUAAGAGCAGAUGGCGGAUGCCUUGCCAAAGAGAGGCGAUGAAGGACGUACUAGACUGCGAUAAGCUAUGCGGAGCUGUCAAGGAGCUUUGAUGCGUAGAUGUCCGAAUGGGGCAACCCAACUAAUAGAGAUAUUAGUUACUCUAAUUAUAGAGAGCGAACCUAGUGAAGUGAAACAUCUCAGUAACUAGAGGAAAAGAAAUCAACGAGAUUCCCUAAGUAGUGGCGAGCGAACGGGGAAAAGGGCAAACCGAGUGCUUGCAUUCGGGGUUGAGGACUGCAACGUCCAAGAGAACGCUUUAGCAGAGUUACCUGGAAAGGUAAGCCAUAGAAAGUGAUAGCCUUGUAUGCGACAAGGCGUUCUCAGGUAGCAGUAUCCAGAGUAGGCCAGGACACGAGAAAUCCAGGUUGAAGCCGGGGAGACCACUCUCCAACCCUAAAUACUACUCUUUGAGCGAUAGCGAACAAGUACCGUGAGGGAAAGGUGAAAAGAACCGCAGUGAGCGGAGUGAAAUAGAACCUGAAACCAUCUGCUUACAAUCAUUCAGAGCACCAUAGUGAAUCCCCCUGAGGAAUUGCGGGGGGGGGUGUAUAUAUUACAACUUAUACGCUCUCUUCUUCUCCAUGAUUUCUCGAUAUCUUUUUUGGUAAGGAGUAUUCAUGGGAAAAGGACAACUUUCUAGUAACCCUAAUGGGGCAGGUUGGCCAUCUACUACAGGUAACCCAAGCGGUGGUGGUAGAAGGAACAAUACAGGUGGCGGGAAAAAAUAAGCCCGUCAGCUAAGUGGAGGGGGUUGAUAGUCUAUUUUUCAAUUCUUCAGUGGGAUUCACUGGUGUGAUGGACUGCCUUUUGCAUAAUGAUCCUGCGAGUUGUGGUAUCUGGCAAGGUUAAGCGAAUGCGAAGCCGUAGCGAAAGCGAGUCUUAAUAGGGCGCUUGAGUCAGAUGCUGCAGACCCGAAGCUAAGUGAUCUAUCCAUGGCCAAGUUGAAGCGCGUGUAAUAGCGCGUGGAGGACUGAACUCGUACCCAUUGAAACGGGUUGGGAUGAGCUGUGGAUAGGGGUGAAAGGCCAAACAAACUUAGUGAUAGCUGGUUCUCUUCGAAAUAUAUUUAGGUAUAGCCUCAAGUGAUAAUAAAAGGGGGUAGAGCACUGAUUGGGCUAGGGCUGCUCGCCGCGGUACCAAACCCUAUCAAACUUCGAAUACCUUUUAUCGUAUCUUGGGAGUCAGGCGGUGGGUGAUAAAAUCAAUCGUCAAAAGGGGAACAACCCAGACUACCAAAUAAGGUCCCUAAGUUCUAUUCUGAGUGGAAAAAGAUGUGUGGCUACUCAAACAACCAGGAGGUUGGCUUAGAAGCAGCCAUCCUUUAAAGAAAGCGUAACAGCUCACUGGUCUAGUGGUCAUGCGCUGAAAAUAUAACGGGGCUAAGAUAGACACCGAAUUUGUAGAUUGUGUUUGACACAGUGGUAGAAGAGCGUUCAUACCAGCGUUGAAGGUAUACCGGUAAGGAGUGCUGGAGCGGUAUGAAGUGAGCAUGCAGGAAUGAGUAACGAUAAGAUAUAUGAGAAUUGUAUCCGCCGUAAAUCUAAGGUUUCCUACGCGAUGGUCGUCAUCGUAGGGUUAGUCGGGUCCUAAGCCGAGUCCGAAAGGGGUAGGUGAUGGCAAAUUGGUUAAUAUUCCAAUACCGACUAUGGAGCGUGAUGGGGGGACGCAUAGGGUUAAGCGAGCUAGCUGAUGGAAGCGCUAGUCUAAGGGCGUAGAUUGGAGGGAAGGCAAAUCCACCUCUGUAUUUGAAACCCAAACAGGCUCUUUGAGUCCUUUUAGGACAAAGGGAGAAUCGCUGAUACCGUCGUGCCAAGAAAAGCCUCUAAGCAUAUCCAUAGUCGUCCGUACCGCAAACCGACACAGGUAGAUGAGAUGAGUAUUCUAAGGCGCGUGAAAGAACUCUGGUUAAGGAACUCUGCAAACUAGCACCGUAAGUUCGCGAUAAGGUGUGCCACAGCGAUGUGGUCUCAGCAAAGAGUCCCUCCCGACUGUUUACCAAAAACACAGCACUUUGCCAACUCGUAAGAGGAAGUAUAAGGUGUGACGCCUGCCCGGUGCUCGAAGGUUAAGAGGAUGCGUCAGUCGCAAGAUGAAGCGUUGAAUUGAAGCCCGAGUAAACGGCGGCCGUAACUAUAACGGUCCUAAGGUAGCGAAAUUCCUUGUCGGUUAAAUACCGACCUGCAUGAAUGGCGUAACGAGAUGGGAGCUGUCUCAACCAGAGAUUCAGUGAAAUUGUAGUGGAGGUGAAAAUUCCUCCUACCCGCGGCAAGACGGAAAGACCCCGUGGACCUUUACUACAACUUAGCACUGCUAAUGGGAAUAUCAUGCGCAGGAUAGGUGGGAGGCUUUGAAGUAAGGGCUUUGGCUCUUAUGGAGCCAUCCUUGAGAUACCACCCUUGAUGUUUCUGUUAGCUAACUGGCCUGUGUUAUCCACAGGCAGGACAAUGCUUGGUGGGUAGUUUGACUGGGGCGGUCGCCUCCUAAAAAGUAACGGAGGCUUGCAAAGGUUGGCUCAUUGCGGUUGGAAAUCGCAAGUUGAGUGUAAUGGCACAAGCCAGCCUGACUGUAAGACAUACAAGUCAAGCAGAGACGAAAGUCGGUCAUAGUGAUCCGGUGGUUCUGUGUGGAAGGGCCAUCGCUCAAAGGAUAAAAGGUACCCCGGGGAUAACAGGCUGAUCUCCCCCAAGAGCUCACAUCGACGGGGAGGUUUGGCACCUCGAUGUCGGCUCAUCGCAUCCUGGGGCUGGAGCAGGUCCCAAGGGUAUGGCUGUUCGCCAUUUAAAGCGGUACGCGAGCUGGGUUCAGAACGUCGUGAGACAGUUCGGUCCCUAUCUGCCGUGGGCGUAGGAAAGUUGAGGAGAGCUGUCCCUAGUACGAGAGGACCGGGAUGGACGUGUCACUGGUGCACCAGUUGUUCUGCCAAGAGCAUCGCUGGGUAGCUACACACGGAUGUGAUAACUGCUGAAAGCAUCUAAGCAGGAAGCCAACUCCAAGAUGAACUUUCCCUGAAGCUCGCACAAAGACUAUGUGCUUGAUAGGGUAGAUGUGUAAGCGCAGUAAUGCGUUUAGCUGACUACUACUAAUAGAGCGUUUGGCUUGUUUU